rnacentral:misc_RNA from 1 species
CUCCGGAUCAUGCGUGCACCGGCGGAUCAGCCUUCGCAGAUGUGGUCUUGUAGUAGCCACUCACGCCCACCCCACCAGAGUCACAUAAACGUCGUCCCUAGAUCCCGUGAAACGCCGAUACCCGCCGCUGCGAAACGCCCCGCUUUGACGGCCCCCCGAGGCUGUCGCGAUCCAAGAAAAAAAAAGGCGUGGAACCCGGCAAGCCCGUUCGCAAGUCGCACCAGCCGCCAGCCAGCCCGCCAUGACCUAGCCGCAGCCUCUUUUAUAAAACCCGCCGCCUCCGCUCGUCUCCUCCACAGCUCCACCCACCACAGCAGGCAGAGAGCAGAGCGCCACCAGCCAAGCCGUCCGAUCCUUCGUCUGCCGAAGCCCAAGCCCAAGCAGCAGAACAGGUCCGAUGGCUCUCGCUCUCUCCGGCUGCUCCGCCCGCGCCGCCCUGACGUCGCUGGCCCCCAGGGCCAGGGGCUACGCGGCGUCGGCGGCGUCCGGGGCCAUGCGGCGCGCGGCGGCGGAGAGCGCGGCCGCGGGCGAGGCCAAGGAGGCCGGGCGCCGCACCGCCGCCGCCGAGGUCUCGUGGGUGCCGGACCCCGUCACGGGCCACUACCGCCCCUCCAACUGGGCCGCCGCCGCCGCCGACCCCGCCGACCUCCGCGCCGCGCACCUCGCCCCCACCUACGCCCGGGCCUGAACGGCCCCCGCUCCCUCACCCCGCUCCGCCUCGCCUCGUGUCGUCUCGUAUGACAUACAGUACCGUACCUGAGUGAAGGCGAAGAGAGAGGCCGGUGGGGGCCGGGGUUCGUCUGGCGAAUGGCGUCGUCGCGCCGCGCGCGCGCGCUCUGUGACGCCCGGCCCGGCGUGUUCUUGGAGAGCGGGAGGUGUUCUGUCGUCUUGGUUGGUCGCUGUGCGAUGCGAUCCGAUGACCAACGGGAGAUGCUGUUAUUACAAACAAGAAGAGCGGUCUGUGGUCGCCACCCGUGUGUGGUGUGGGUGGGCUGGAAUGGAUGUCCUGCUCUAGACUCCAGUGCACUCCCAGCUCCUACAUAUAUAUCAGAUUCAGAGCAGAGCAGAGCAGGGUUUUGCACUGCCGUUUUACGUUUGGUGCUCGCGACAGCUAGAGUAUUUCGGAUUUAUCUACGUAUAAUAAAGUUGCAUCUUUUAUCGAACACGAACGGACGGAACGAGUUUUAUCAAACAAGAAUCGAGCGUCUUGCGAACGCUUCGAAUCCAAUCAGACUAAAAAUCAUGGCGAACAGAUAUGCGGCACAAUCUCUACAGGAGGAUCUCUUGGUCACACGGACUCACAUUUGCUCAGCGCCACUUACCUGUAAACGAUUUCGUGUGGACCAACGACCAAUGUGCUCGAGUGCGCACUACUACUAUUUCUUUACCCUUCCACUUCCAGUUCCAUUCUGUAUUUGCGUUGCCGUUCACGGCCUCACGGGGCACGUUGCCUGCACCGUGCUUCGAAAAGAUGCGCUUUGCUUCAGCACCCGGCGAUCCCGUUGCCGUCAGCCGACUACCAUUUAUCACUGGCGUUGGGUGUGCACUUGUCUUCCGUUCGUAUUUCUCUCCUUCUACACUUACGGGCAUGAUUGGUUGCAUGAGCGACAGGCGCAUGGCUCGACCAAGCCUGGCCUACCGCAAACGUGGUUUCUCUGCUUCUCCACGCAUGCAACAAAAAUGGCUCGAUUUGGCUUUAGCUGCACACCCGCACAUGCAAGUGUGCCCAUGCACAUACAGACAUCCAAACAUAAAUUAGAGGUCAGUCAACGCAUGGACAGAAGCCGGUUGCCGAGAAGCACGCAACCAAC